rfam:Euryarchaeota archaeon RBG_16_68_12 RBG_16_scaffold_113327, whole genome shotgun sequence.
GAGCCGGUCGCCUAGCACGGUCGGGCAGCUGGCCUUUAACCAGCCCUGCGUCGGUUCAAAUCCGACCCGGCUCA